UGGCGGCGUGCAUAACACAUGCAAGUCGAACGAUGAAGCUUAGAUGAUUUCUUCGGAAUGAACUUAAGUGGAUUAGUGGCGAACGGGUGAGUAACACGUGAGUAACCUGCCUUACACAAGGGGAUAGCCUCUGGAAACGGAGAAUAAUACCCUAUAAAGUCUAAUCAGCCCAUGCUGGAAAGACCAAAGAUUUAUCGGUGUAAGAUGGACUUGCGUCUGAUUAGCUAGUUGGUGAGAUAAAAGCUCACCAAGGCGACGAUCAGUAGCCGGCUUGAGAGAGUGUACGGCCACAUUGGGACUGAGACACGGCCCAAACUCCUACGGGAGGCAGCAGUGGGGAAUUUUGCACAAUGGGGGAAACCCUGAUGCAGCGACGCCGCGUGAUUUAGAAGGCCUUCGGGUUGUAAAAAUCUUUUUUACGGGAUGAAAAUGACAGUACCGUAAGAAUAAGGUCCGGCUAAAUACGUGCCAGCAGCCGCGGUAAUACGUAUGGACCGAGCGUUGUCCGGAAUCAUUGGGCGUAAAGGGUACGUAGGCGGCCUAGUAAGUUAGAAGUUAAAGAAUAUAGCUCAACUAUAUAAAGCUUUUAAAACUGCUAGGCUUGAGAGAUGGAAGGGAAAGUGGAAUUCCUAGUGUAGCGGUGAAAUGCGCAGAUAUUAGGAAGAAUACCGGUGGCGAAGGCGACUUUCUGGUCAUCAUCUGACGCUGAGGUACGAAAGCGUGGGUAGCAAACAGGAUUAGAUACCCUGGUAGUCCACGCUGUAAACGAUGAGUGUUAGGUUCUUGGAAUAAUCUGGGAGCCGCAGCUAACGCAUUAAACACUCCGCCUGGGGAGUACGCACGCAAGUGUG
rnacentral:rRNA from 1 species